UGUAGUUAAGUCAGCAGUUUGUGUGGGACCGAAAUCAGUUCUCUCUCACUGGAUGUGUUUUGUUCCUGUUUUAGAAAAGAAGCAUGGCAGCGAGAAGUAGCAAUGACUUUCAGCUUGUUAUUCCUGAAAGAGGUGAAAGAGUUAAGAUUAAUGCAGGAUCUACUCUCACUGUGUCAUGCCACCUGUCUCCUGCACUCAGUGCUGUUGACAUGGAGAUUUCUUGGUUUGGCGAGAUGUCUUGUAUUUGUGCCUAUAAGAACCGAGAGAUGACACAGAGUGUUGGCUACGAGGGGAGAGCCAGUCUGUUCAUUAAUGACCUGCCGAGAGGGAAUGUGUCUUUAAGAGUGGCAGACUUCAGAGAGUCAGAUCUGGGAGUUUACAUGUGCAGAGUCAUCGGUAGAAAUGAAACACAGCAGAUAACAGUAAAUGUAGCAGAAGAAGUCUCUGCUAUUUUGAAGAACCAGGACUUCUUUACAGUGAAUCAAAAAAUGGGAGAAACAAGCAACAAGUUGUCAGAGCAUGAGGGUGAUUCAGACAAUCAGCUUCAGGAUUACAAGACUGGAGAGCCAAUAUAUCAGUUAUCAAUCCACUCUGUAUAUCACAGUGCUUCAGGGAAGGAUCAGUGUAAGGAUUACAAGGGAGAAACAGACAACAAAUUAUCAUCACAGUACAGCAAAUUAGAUCUAAGCCAUAAAGAUGAGCAGCCUGGGGAUGACAUAAUGGGAACCAAAAGAAAAGAUUCUUUGCGCCAAGUUUCAUAUCACAAUGAAGAAAACAAGGGCCAGCAUGGGAAUGCCAAGAUGGAAGACUUGAAAAAGAACUUUCAGCUUGUUGUUCCCAGUACACCAGAAAAGCCAGAGGUUUCUUUGGGGGCUGAUUUGAUCAUUCCAUGUCACUUGUCUCCUGAAAUCAGUGCUGUUGACAUGGAGAUCAGGUGGUCUAAUGAAACAGCCUGUGUUUGCCUGUAUAAGGACAGGCAGGUGACAGAAGGGGUUUUGUUCAAGGACCGAGUGAGUCUAUUCACUCACAAGCUUAGUGAAGGAAAUGUGUCCUUACGACUGAAAAACUUCAGGCUGUCAGAUAUCGGAAAUUACCAUUGUCAGGUCAUCAGUAAAGACAGAAGAGAGAAUAUAACAGUAAGAGUGAGGAUAAAUCCCGGCGUGCAGUCUACGAGUCAGUCUCCAAUAUUUCCAGAAGAAAAUAAGGAUAAAAGGACAAGAGCACCAACAAACAAAGAAUCAAGACACACUUCACAUCAAAGUGAAUCCGAUGAGAAACAACAUGAGAAUUACAGCAAGAGUGUAUCUGGUGGUUUUCAGCUUGUUAUUCCUCAAACAGAAGCACAGAUUUCUAUGGGGUCUGAAAUCAUUGUUCCUUGUCACUUGACUCCUGAAAUCUGUGCCAUUGGCAUGCAGAUCAAAUGGUUUAAGGAGACAGACUGUGUUUGCAUCUACAAGAACAGACAUGUGAUCGAGGGGAGGAGCUACAGAGACCGAGCGAGUCUGGACACUCACGUACUGGAGAGAGGAAAUGUGUCUUUACAUGUCAAUAACUUCAGUGUCUCAGAUGUUGGUGAUUACUACUGUCAGGUCAUCAGUGGAGACACAACACAACAGAUUACAGUAGGAGUGAGCAUAAAACCUGAAUCCAACCUGUGAGUCAGUCACCAAGAUUUCAAGGUCGAAGUAUUCAUCUAAAGCUGUUUGAGAUAGACAAAGUAUGGACUAAACGGGAGACAGACAUGAUGAAUAAAUCUGCUCUAAUGGCUGGAGACUGUUGUUUUAGCAAGUUCACAAAAGGUUAUAUCCAAGAAACAGAUUAUCUCUUAUUAAUACAGCAACAAAUUAAUAUUAAUAGAUGAUUCUAAACUAAAUUUGCCUUUUUUUCAGAGGAGCUUCAGUAUAUGUUAAUUAAGGCAUGCAAAGAAAAAGACAGACAGCUGAAAAGAGCUGAACAGGAGUUGAGAGAGACCAGAAAGAUGCAGGACAGACUCUUAAGACUCAACCCUCAUGCUCAGUUUCUGGACAGAGACAAAUCAAAUCCCAUUUAAUAGCUUAGUUGACAUUGAAAUUUCAGGUUGAUCCUUUUCUUAAAUUUCGUGAGAGCUAUAACAAUCAAUAUUACAGAUGAUUUGUUUCUCAAAUUAAGUAUAGGCUACAUUAAUCAAGGCAUGUUAUUCUGAAGAAAAUUACAAUUUCAAUGAAAUUACAAAGAAUUUACCUUAUUUAAGACUUUUUUUUUAACCCAAUGUUUAAUAAAGCAGUUUAAUAAAUCCCAAAUUAUAAAUAAGGCUCCAACACUAACACGCACACACACAAAUAAAUAAACUAGAAAAUGUUAAAUCUGCAUGUAAAUAAUUAAAGUAGUUUAAUAAUUUUUUUUUGUAAAAUAAAAUGAAAAUGAAUCACAAUUUUGGGGACCUGAAAAUCACUAGACGACUAUUUUCUUGGUUCUAGGUCACUACAACAGAACUGCAGCGCCCCCGCGUGGACACAGUGGUCUAGUGCAGCAUCUCACUUGUGAAGGUGGGACGUGCACGGAUAACUCUUAAAAGCUCAAAUUUUCAAAUGGUAAACUUCAUCUUUUGACAACAUUAUGUAAUUAUCAUUGCCCAUUUAAAGAGUUGGAAUGAACGUGUGUUAUAUCAGGUACUUUGUUGAAAGGGUUUAAAAAUGUGAAAAUAAAACAGGCUGCCUAUUAAAGUUGCUGGGAGUUGGAGUGCUUUCUUGCAUCAGUAAUAUAUAAAUAUAAUGUGGCUAUAAAUGUCUUAAUGCAGGUAAACUGAUUCUUAUACAUGC